GCGAUGGUUUGAAAUUAAAGUGUUGCAGAAUCAAUGAAUUACACCAGACUACGAAUCUGGGGGUCAGAGGUUCGAAUCCUUUCGGGCGCGCCA
rnacentral:tRNA from 1 species